GAUGAACGCUGGCGGCGUGCCUAAUACAUGCAAGUCGAGCGAACAGAUGGGGAGCUUGCUCCUCUGACGUUAGCGGCGGACGGGUGAGUAACACGUGGAUAACCUACCUAUAAGACUGGGAUAACUUCGGGAAACCGGAGCUAAUACCGGAUAAUAUAUUGAACCGCACGGUUCAAUAGUGAAAGACGGUUUUGCUGUCACUUAUAGAUGGAUCCGCGCCGCAUUAGCUAGUUGGUAAGGUAACGGCUUACCAAGGCAACGAUGCGUAGCCGACCUGAGAGGGUGAUCGGCCACACUGGAACUGAGACACGGUCCAGACUCCUACGGGAGGCAGCAGUAGGGAAUCUUCCGCAAUGGGCGAAAGCCUGACGGAGCAACGCCGCGUGAGUGAUGAAGGUCUUCGGAUCGUAAAACUCUGUUAUUAGGGAAGAACAAAUGUGUAAGUAACUAUGCACGUCUUGACGGUACCUAAUCAGAAAGCCACGGCUAACUACGUG
rnacentral:rRNA from 1 species